rnacentral:lncRNA from 1 species
CGACGCCGGCCAUUCCAGUCAAUCUUCAAGAAAAAUGACAUUUAGAUUGUUGCUAUUAAUAACAGUUUAAUUGUAAUAUUUAACCUUUCAAUAUAGUUUUCAGCAAAAUAAGUAGGUCAUGUCUUAUGCUAGCUUAGCGGAUCCCUUCAUCUGAUGCUUGAAGUAUCAUCUGCAUAUAUACAUUGAUUGGUCAGGCAUCAUACUAUGCCUAUUGCUGUAGCAAGUAGCAACUAAUAAUCCUUGCCAAAAAAAGUAGCAACUAAUAUAAUGCAAAUGGUGAGAAAUCGAGCUUACCUUGUGAGCUUAUGAAUUUCAGUGACGGAGCUUCGGCGGCAGCAGAGCCAAAGCCAGCGCGACCAGCUGCUCAUGGUUCACAUCGCAAACAACUG